GACGAACGCUGGCGGCGUGCUUAACACAUGCAAGUCGAACGGAAAGGCCCUGCUUUUGUGGGGUGCUCGAGUUGCGAACGGGUGAGUAACACGUGAGUAACCUGCCCUUGACUUUGGGAUAACUUCAGGAAACUGGGUCUAAUACCGGAUAGGAGCUCCUGCUGCAUGGUGGGGGUUGGAAAGUUUCGGCGGUUGGGGAUGGACUCGCGGCUUAUCAGCUUGUUGGUGGGGUAGUGGCUUACCAAGGAUUUGACGGGUAGCCGGCCUGAGAGGGUGACCGGCCACAUUGGGAGUGAGAUACGGCCCAGACUCAUACGGGAGGGAGGAGGGGGGAAUAUAGCACAAUGGGCGGAAGCAUGAUGCAGCAACGCAGGGUGCGGGAGGACGGCAUUCGGGUUGUAAACAGAUUUCGCCUGUGACGAAGCGUGAGUGACGGUAAUGGGUAAAGAAGCACCGGCUAACUACGU
rnacentral:rRNA from 1 species